rnacentral:lncRNA from 1 species
GGUGAGCGGCAGCCAUUUUGACAAUUCCAAAGUCAAAGAGAGCAUCUACAGAUGUCUAGUAACAUUUUUGCAAAGUUUCAUUAAGUUUGAACAUUUUGAAUUUUUUUGAUAUUUUUGCUGUUUCCAUGGUUAGGGCGGCCAUUUUGAAAAUUCCAACUUCAAAAUCCAACUCUGCCUAUGCCAGUUACCAUUCCUGUAAAG